AGAGAGAGACAUGCGCGCAUAUCAAUAAGCGGAGGAAAAGAAACUAACAAGGAUUCCCUUAGUAACGGCGAGUGAAGCGGGAAGAGCUCAAAUUUGAAAUCUUCAAGGUUCUACCUUGACGAAUUGUAGUUUAUAGAAGCGUUUUCUGUUAGUGGAGUGGCAAAAGUUCUUUGGAAUAGGACAUCAUAGAGGGUGAGAAUCCCGUAUUUGGUCAUUCCUCCUAGCGUUGUGAUACACUUUCAACGAGUCGGAUUGUUUGGGAAUGCAGUCCAAAAUGGGUGGUAAAUUUCAUCUAAAGCUAAAUAUUGGCGAGAGACCGAUAGCGAACAAGUACCGUGAGGGAAAGAUGAAAAGAACUUUGAAAAGAGAGUUAAACAGUACGUGAAAUUGUCAAAAGGGAAGCAUUUGACACCAGUGUUGUUUUUCCGAAAAUCAAUUACGAAUGUUUUGUUUUUGAGGAGUUAUGACUUCAUCGGCUUGCUCCUUUCCUUACUGAAACUUUCUUAAUGCACUUUUCGGUUAACAAGUCAACAUCAAUUUCUUUUGUUGUAAAAGGGUAUGAGGAAGGUGGCUUUCUUUUCGGAGAAAGUGUUUAUAGCCUCGUGCCUCUGCAAUCGGAGAGAUUGAGGUCUGCAGCGUAGAUCCUUCGGGGUUAGAUACGUUUGUGCUAAGUUAUAGCUUUUCAUAGACAACUUGUUGACUAUGUUUAGUCUUGUAGCUUACUCGCUGAUGCUAUUUUACCUACGCUUAGGAUGUUGAUAGUCACAGCGUGUAC
rnacentral:rRNA from 1 species